rnacentral:rRNA from 1 species
AACGAACGCUGGCGGCAUGCCUAACACAUGCAAGUCGAACGAAGCCUUCGGGCUUAGUGGCGCACGGGUGCGUAACGCGUGGGAAUCUGCCCUUGGGUUCGGAAUAACAGUUAGAAAUGACUGCUAAUACCGGAUGAUGUCUUCGGACCAAAGAUUUAUCGCCCAAGGAUGAGCCCGCGUAGGAUUAGGUAGUUGGUGGGGUAAUGGCCCACCAAGCCGACGAUCCUUAGCUGGUCUGAGAGGAUGAUCAGCCACACUGGGACUGAGACACGGCCCAGACUCCUACGGGAGGCAGCAGUGGGGAAUAUUGGACAAUGGGCGAAAGCCUGAUCCAGCAAUGCCGCGUGAGUGAUGAAGGCCUUAGGGUUGUAAAGCUCUUUUGCUAGGGGAGAAUAAGUGAGGGAGGGAAUGCCCUCAUGAUGACAAGGACUAGCGAAUAAGCCCCGGCCAACUACGUG